rnacentral:rRNA from 1 species
CAGUAGCCGCGGUAAUACGGAGGGAGCUAGCGUUGUUCGGAAUUACUGGGCGUAAAGCGCGCGUAGGCGGUUACUCAAGCCAGAGGUGAAAGCCCGGGGCUCAACCCCGGAACUGCCUUUGAAACUAGGUGACUAGAAUCUUGGAGAGGUCAGUGGAAUCCCGAGUGUAGAGGUGAAAUUCGUAGAUAUUCGGAAGAACACCAGUGGCGAAGGCGACUGACUGGACAAGUAUUGACGCUGAGGUGCGAAAGCGUGGGGAGCAAACAGGAUUAGAUACCCCCGUAGUCCCUGUCUCUUAUAC